UAGGGAUAGUAGCGAAUAUCCUUUUGCGAGGUGGCUGAGCGCAGCGAAGUCCACCUCGCAAAAGAUAGCAGCGGAUAGCCCGACCCGAA
rnacentral:sRNA from 1 species